ensembl:lncRNA
AUAUGCUGAUUUGCUGCUCAAAAUGCUUUAUUUCUAUACAAAAUCAUGAUGUUGAAUUAUAAUGGAUAUAAUAAUCCUGUCCACAGUUUACCUGCUGAUGGUCAAGGUUCUGGUUCCUCUGGUGGUUUUGGUCGGUUGUUGUGUUUGUCUGUGGUCAUACAGAAACCUGUAAGUGUGCUGAUAUACAGUAUGUGCUGUGAGCUGAUGCACUGUUCUUCUCACCUGACGACGUCUUUCUCCACUGUUUCCAGAAUAAGAGGAUUUCCAGAAGAAGCGUUCGGCUUUCUGCACGUAAAAGCACUGGACCUGGAUGAAGAUCUUUAUGAAGCGAGUGAAAAGAUCCAUACUCUGAUGAUAGAGGACUGUAAAUGGUGUGACGUCGAGAUUUUAGAUGUGCGACCCAUCACAACAGAGAAACCAUGGCUCACGGGCGCAGAGGAUCAGAGUUGUUCAUUCAUUACUCCUGAAGUCACACCACCAUCCUGCCAUCUUACCACAGAUCUCACAAACUUCACUUACGUGUCCUGUGUGCAGCAAGAUCUGCCUUCAGAGGAGCUGCAGACAGAAGCCACAAAACAGGAGUCGGAGAUCUCUGGCUUUUCGAGUGACUACGUCACUUCCGUAGGCACAUAAUUCCUGAAAACGCAGUGUUGUGGUUUCAUACACACCAAAGCAAGCAAGCCAGCAAAGGCGAUCUUAUCACAGAGAUGUUCAGCAAGAUCACAACAUCCUCAUGUCACCAGCGUGUUUGUCAGGGCCCUGCUUCCUUCUGCAAAACAGCUUUUAAAGACGAGAAAUGUUGUGAAAUGCAACUGCAGUAUUUGGUGCUUGAGAUUUUGCAAUAUCUGUCAGGUACUUUAUCUUGGUUUUGCAUGUUAUGCUAGACUUAUCUGGGCAAAAACAUGCAAAAUGUUCUCUCUCAAGGGUAAGACAUGUUCUAGAUGAGAUAUCUCUAUUAUUCAUAUGCUUUACGGGAAACACUUUGCAUUUCAUAUCAUGAACAAUAAACAAUUUAGAACUU